CAUCUGUACUUGCUGUAGUUUUCUUCACAGGCCGUGUGCUUCCUCCUUGGAAAGGACCCCUCUUCCUUGUGACGCAGUCCUGUUAGUAGGGUUAGGUGCACCCACGUGCUGGCUCCGAAUACCACCGCAUGUGAUUACAACACCUGAACAUCAACACAUUUCAGAAAGGACCGCCACAUCAAUCCCUUCGGACGUAGCCCUAGGAAUCUCCUCUGUCUAUCUCCAAAGAGAGACAAGGCCUGGAAUUUGGACACAGCUGAGGGAGCUGUCCGAAUCUCUACAGUUGAACACUCAUCAGUGCGACGGUGUCUUUCUUGUGCACAAGAAAACAAAGGGUCAAAGUUGUGGUUGGUUGAGCGGUGUAAAUUGGGCAGGGCAAAAGAACUUGCGGAAGGAUGAGGUGGAAGUGAGGGUGUGAAAGGAGCCCCCCACCUCACCUGUUCAUUUCUAGACGGUGUGACAUUUGCAUGGUUGGGCCAUUUCUUGGCUUUUUUGAGAAAAGGGGCGAAUUUUCCCAUGGCUUCCACCAUCCCCUUACAGCUGCCCCUUCGCCACACUAUGUUGCAUCUGACCUGGAUAGGUAGAAAGUAAGAUUUCACUUCAAAUCUCAAAGUCCAGUAGAAAUAAUUGUGGGGGAAUUUCCUGUCACUAAGAGAAACAGAAGCUCAAGCCUUCUCAAGGGGUGGGGUGUCGCUCAGCCACAGGCACAAAAAGGCUCCCCUAGUUUAAGCGUGCGAGGGAUAAGACGUUACAGCCUCGUUACAGGGCAGUCAUUUUGCCGGGCAUGUCAAAGUGACCUGUGGUUUAAUUUGCUUGGCAAAGGAGACCCAAACCUUCCUUACAGGGUGGUCCUUAAGCCAGGGGCGUUCGAAUGGGGCAGAGAG